rnacentral:lncRNA from 1 species
AGGGAGGAUUCCCUCUUUUUCUAUUAAUUGGAAUAGCUUCAGAAGGAAUGGUACCAGCUACUCUUUGUACCUCUGGUAGAAUUUGGCUGUGAAUCCGUCUGGUCCUGGACUUUUUUUGGUUGGUAGGCUAUUAAUUGUUGCUUCAAUUUCAGAGCCUGUUAUUGGUCUAUUCAGGGAUUCAACUUCUUCCUGGUUUAGUCUUGGGAGGGUGUAUGUCCAGGAAUUUAUCCAUUUCUUCUAGAUUUUCUAGUUUAUUUGCAUAGAGGUGUUUAUAGUAUUCUCUGAUGGUAGUUUGUAUUUCUGUGGGAUCAGUGGUGAUAUCCCCUUUAUCAUUUUUUAUUGCAUCUAUUUGAUUCUUCUCUCUUUUCUUCUUUAUUAGUCUUGCUAGCAGUCUAUCAAUUUUGUUGAUCUUUUCAAAAAACAAGCUCCUGGAUUCAUUGAUUUUUUGAAGAGCUCUCCUGGAUUCAAGCAAGCCUCCAACCUGAGCCUCCUAAGUAUCUGGGACUACAGGCACGCACUACCAGGCCUGGCUAAUUGUUCAGGCUGGAGUGCAGUGGUGCGAUCUCGGCUCACUGCAAGCUCCACCUCCCGGGUUCACGCCAUUGUCCUGCCUCAGCCUCCCAGGUAGCUGGGACUACAGGCGCCCGCCACCACGCCUGGCUAAUUUUUUGUACUUUUUAGUAGAGAUGGAGUUUCUAUGUGUUAGCCAGGAUGGUCUCGAUCUCCUGACCUCGUGAUCCACCAGCCUC